rnacentral:rRNA from 1 species
UACAGAGGGUGCGAGCGUUGCUCCGGAAUCACUGGGCGUAAAGGGCGCGUAGGUGGCGCUGCAAGUCGGUGGUGAAAGCUCGAUGCUCAACAUCGAGUCGGCCAUCGAAACUGCAGGGCUGGAGCACUGUAGGGGCAGAUGGAAUUCCGGGUGUAGCGGUGGAAUGCGUAGAGAUCCGGAAGAACACCGGUGGCGAAGGCGGCAUCCUGGACCAAUUCUGACGCUGAGGAGCGAAAGCCAGGG